rnacentral:ncRNA from 1 species
AAAGAUCGAUACCGAGGAGGGCAUGGCGCCCCGGAGAAUCCCCUGCUCACGCAGGCAGUCCGUACCGUGUACUGGCUGAAACUCCCUAUACCUCAACAAGCUGUCACUCCGGCGUGAAGGUAUCGUUCU